ACUGCUCAGUAACACGUGGCUAAUCUGCCCUUAGGACGAGAACAACCCCGGGAAACUGGGGCUAACUCUUGAUAGGCGAAGAACUCUGGAAUGAGUCUUUACCUAAAUAGAUUCACGUUAUCCUCGUGAACCUGCCUAAGGAUGAGGCCGCGACCGAUCAGGUUGUUGGCGAGGUAAUGGCUCACCAAGCCUUUUACCGGUGCGGGCCGUGGGAGCGGGAGCCCGGAGAUGGGUACUGAGACAAGGACCCAGGCCCUACGGGGCGCAGCAGUCGCGAAACCUUUGCAAUAAGCGAAAGCUUGACAGGGCUAUCCCGAGUGCCAUCCGCUGAGGAAGGCUUUUACCCUGUCUAGAACGCUGGGGGAAUAAGGAGAGGGCAAGUCUGGUGUCAGCCGCCGCGGUAAUACCAGCUCUCCGAGUGGUGUGGAUGUUUAUUGGGCCUAAAGCAUCCGUAGCUGGCUAAGUUAGUCCCUUGUUAAAUCCACCGAAUUAAUCGUUGGAUCGCGGGGGAUACUGCUUGGCUAGGGGACGAGAGAGGCAGACGGUAUUUUCGGGGUAGGGGUGAAAUCCUAUAAUCCCGGGAAGACCACCAGUGGCGAAGGCUGUCUGCUAGAACGCGCCCGACGGUGAGGGAUGAAAGCUGGGGGAGCGAACCGGAUUAGAUACCCGGGUAGUCCCAGCUGUAAACGAUGCAGACUAGGUGUUUGGACGGCCACGUGCCGUUCUAGUGCCGCAGGGAAGCUGUUAAGUCUGCCGCCUGGGGAGUACGAUCGCAAGAUUGAAACUUAAAGGAAUUGGCGGGGGAGCAC
rnacentral:rRNA from 1 species